UACGUAGGCAGCGAGCGUUGUUCGGAGUUACUGGGCGUAAAGCGCACGUAGGCGGCUUUUUAAGUCAGGGGUGAAAUCCUGGAGCUCAACUCCAGAACUGCCUUUGAUACUGAGAAGCUUGAGUCCGGGAGAGGUGAGUGGAACUGCGAGUGUAGAGGUGAAAUUCGUAGAUAUUCGCAAGAACACCAGUGGCGAAGGCGGCUCACUG
rnacentral:rRNA from 1 species